rnacentral:rRNA from 1 species
CUUUCCUUGAUGACGACUGGCGCACGGGUGAGUAACGCGUAUCCAACCUUCCCAUAACUACGGGAUAACCCGUUGAAAGACGGCCUAAUACCGUAUGAUAUCGUUUGCUGACAUCAAAUAACGAUUAAAGGUUUAGCGGUUAUGGAUGGGGAUGCGUCUGAUUAGCUUGUUGGCGGGGUAACGGCCCACCAAGGCAACGAUCAGUAGGGGUUCUGAGAGGAAGGUCCCCCACAUUGGAACUGAGACACGGUCCAAACUCCUACGGGAGGCAGCAGCA